rnacentral:lncRNA from 1 species
AAAAUAGCAAGCGGAAGACUUUCUAGACUUUAUAUAUGAUGUCUCAAAGCCAUCUAAUACUUUAGAGUACAAAAUUCGGGACUAAUCCUGUACACAACUUAAACAAUACUAAAAAGACAUAAAAGAACAUAUUGGGUAUUGUCCUCGAAUCUAUGAGGACUCACCAAGUCUUCAUCUUCAACACUUAGAAACCUAUCAAAUAGCCAUGACAUGUCAUUAUCUCCAAAUCCCUACACU